UGGGAGAUCGUCUAAUGGCAGGACACGCGACUCUGAAUCGCGUAAUCUAGGUUCGACCCCUAGUCUCCCAGCCA
rnacentral:tRNA from 1 species